AAUAAGCGCAACCAUAAGUUUUCGUGUCCAACUUUGAUCGUCUGUCUUAUUUGAAAUUUUUUUUAUGAUUAGUAUUUUUAUUGUUAUUAAAUGAUUAAACAUGAAUAAUACUUUAUGUUGACUUAUGUUUUUAAAAUAUUUCAAUUUUUUUAAAUAAUAUGGAUGAUUAAAGUUGGAUAUGAAAACUCAUAACUGCAGAGGGG
rfam:Oryza punctata chromosome 11, whole genome shotgun sequence.